rnacentral:rRNA from 1 species
AUUGAACGCUGGCGGCAGGCCUAACACAUGCAAGUCGAACGAGUGGCGGACGGGUGAGUAAUGUCUGGGAAACUGCCUGAUGGAGGGGGAUAACUACUGGAAACGGUAGCUAAUACCGCAUACCAUCGGAUGUUCCCAGAGGGGCUUAGCUAGUAGGUGGGGUAAAGGCUCACCUAGGCGACGAUCCCUAGCUGGUUUGAGAGGAUGACCAGCCACACAGGAACUGAGACACGGGCCAGAGUCCUACGAGAGGCAGCAGUGGGGAAUAGUGAACAAUGGGCGCAAGCCUGAUGCAGCCAUGCCGCGUGUAUGAAGAAGGCCUUCGGGUUGUAAAGUACUUUCAGCGGGGAGGCGUUACCCGCAGAAGAAGCACCGGCUAACUCCGUGCCAGCAGCCGCGGUAAUUC